rnacentral:tRNA from 1 species
GCCCGGGUAGCUCAGUUGGUAGAGCACUUGCCCGAAAGGCAAAGGUCCCGAGUUCGAGUCUCGGUCCGGCACA